UGAUGGUGAAGAGGACAACUCCUGAGCAUGCCCUUAAAUCUCUCCCAAGCUUGGUGGAGAUUUUCUCUAUCUUUUUGUCUGAAACUCAAUAUCUCACUUCUUAAUCG
rnacentral:snoRNA from 1 species